rnacentral:snoRNA from 1 species
CAUUGGAGAAGUGAUGAUGACUUGCCUGGAGUGUCUUCUCUGUUCCGUGGUCCACGCCUCUGCUGUAUCUGUGGCACAAUUUCAAGGAUCAAAGAAACUUCCUAAAGAUAACCGGGAGGCAUUACUCUAAGAUGG